CUUUUCAUUUCCUUUCACUCAUCUAAAGGGUUUUUGCGUUUCCGAAAGACAUAUGAUUUCGGCGUAGUGAAAAUCGUUGCUCGGUGGAUCUGCUUCUCCUCUUUCUGCUUUUUAGAUGAAACAACAAGAAGACAAGUUCUCAUGGUCUUUAACGAUAGUGUCAAGAAUGAUUUUGUCAAGGAUGAUUGUGUCCAUAUCUAUUUCUCUUCUUCAAAUAUAUUGAUUUUUGUAAAUCUAUGAUUUAUUUUCUUAUCCAAUCUGUACUCAUUUCCUCUUUUGCAUCCCAGAUUCAAAUUUAUAGUAUAUUUUUUCUUUUUCAAUUUGUAGUCAUUUCCUUUUCUGAAACCUAUUUUUUUUAGGUAUCAUUAAGCAAAACAAAACGAUGAGAACUCCGGAAACAAAAACACGGAUCGAAGGAGAUAAUGGCUGUAUGAUGGCUGUAUGAUUCAUUAUCUGAAGGAAGUGAUCACAAGUGUUGGAAUAAAUCUGAGUCAAUUACCGAGGAACGACCUCUCUUACGAACACAUCCUAUCCCGUAUCAGAUGUUGCAGGUGAAACUGCAACAUCCAUGGCAUCAACGUCUUUGGUUUUCAAAAAGAUGAAUCCUACAUAUUCAAUGGACAAGUUCAUGGCUGUGAAAGAUCAACCCGAGUAUAUAACUACACAUUGGAUCCAUGCGGUCCUGUUCAUAUCACGGUUGGUGGCGGUAGUAACUGGGAAAACAUAACCAUUACUCACGCGGAUUAACCAGGAAAUUCAUCUGUUGAAGCUUGCAGAAGGAAUAUUCAAUUCAAUGACAAGGAGAUAAUUUCAAUAGUGGAGUCUCAUCUCUCGCGUCUAUAUGCUAGAAAACCCUAAAGAAUUCGACGUUGAAAGGGGAUGGUUGCUACUAAUAUUCAACUUUUAUUCACCUUUUCAUCAAUGAUGUCAAUCGCAGAAGAUCUUUAGCCGAAGAUCUGUAAUUGGUGAUUUAUAACGCAACAUAAAGUUUUAUGAAAAGAUUAAGGAAAGCAUUGACUAAGCAGAUGAUGUUUUAUUACUUGUGGAAUCUGUGAAAAGAUUAAUAUAAACCAAAAACAAUGUUACUUUGAACCAGAAAGCAGUGGAUCAGCAGUCGCAGUAAACACCGCUGUCGGUCUUGUCAGUUGCGAGGACAUCUUAGACAUAGCCAGAAACCAACGCGUGAGCAUCUCCGAAAUCAAAGUUGGUGGAAACCACGUGAUUACCGAGUCGAUUGGGUCAUAAGUUGUAGUACAUCCUGUUGAACCUGAUGUGCCAAUGAAGGAUCCUGGUUUGGUUAUAGACAAGAAUGACAUAACCAUUGGAGAGGCGCUGGAAGCUUCUGCUUUAACUCCAGCUGGUGAUUUGCUAUUUAUUUGUCUAUUCAUUGAAUGUUGUUUAAUGACUUAAAACCAUUCAUUGCCUUUCUACCUUAUCACAUGUAAUAAUUGUGGCCAUGCUUCUGACUGAUAAAAGCUGCUUGGGUGCUUAGCCAUGACUUUUCAAUAAAAUUCAUUUUAAAAGU